rnacentral:lncRNA from 1 species
AGGCGGGGGAAAGCAGGUGAGGAGGCGUGGGUGGGGGUGGGGACUGGGAGAGGGGUGUGUACCUAAAGUGGCUAUGUGGUACCGCGGCGUCGGACGGGGCCGUGUAGCUGCUGGUGCCAGCAGCAGGCAAUGGUGGCUACGGUGUUGGUGUUGCUGGUGGCCGCUGCUGUGUCCAGCCCGGGAAAAAGGGGGCGGGGGGGCCAGGGGGGGGGCGCAGAAGUGCUGACCGCUGGGGCUCCGGAGAGCUGUGGUUAGGGCUGGCUUGGCGGGGGCGGCUGGGGAGGUGCAUUGCCACGUCGUCCUCCCCCUUGGGGGCCCCAUCCUCGGCCCCACCCCCCGCCACCCCCCGACCCGACCCGACUGGGACUGCGGGUAAUCUGAGAGCCCCCCCCCCGGCGGGUGGGGUCGCCGCAAUCGCCGCAUGCCGCUCCCCGCCCUGCGGCCCCACUACGCUCCAUUCGGGCUCCUCCUCCGGACUCACACCCCUCGCCCAACUUUAUUCACCUCCCCCGUCGUACCGGCGGAUUGCCCCGUUGUGUCCCGGACCCCCCGCCCCCCGCCCCAAACCCUUCCCCCCGCUAACGGCGCCGCCACGGACCGACCGGGCUCUGCGACGGAACGCCACUGCAGACUGAUAGGGCCCAAUGCGGCCCCGGGAAGUGAGGGGAGGGGGUCAGAAGGCGGAUAUCGGCUACGCUGGGCGACGGAGAGGACCGGUGCAGUGCCGUACAGGCAUAUUCCGUUAAGUUCGUUACGGCGGCCCCAGGCGGAGGCUCUUGCGCGUGACUGGGACUUCGUGGCAGUGAUGGCAGUGGGGGGGGACUAUCGGGCGGAGCAGGCCGUCGUACGGCUAACAAAAGUGUACGGGUUACGACGCGUGGUGCUGUACGACAGUAGCAUGGAAUGAGAAGGCGCUUUUUUGAGCGGGGUAUUUGUGCUGCUGCUGCUGCUGCUGCUGUGCGCGUUACUAGGUGAUGUCCCC